rnacentral:rRNA from 1 species
CGGUGGAUGAUGUGGAUUAAUUCGAUGCAACGCGAAGAACCUUACCUACCCUUGACAUGCCAGGAAUCUGCCAGAGAUGGUUGGGUGCUCGAAAGAGAACCUGGACACAGGUGCUGCAUGGCUGUCGUCAGCUCGUGUCGUGAGAUGUUGGGUUAAGUCCCGCAACGAGCGCAACCCUUGUCAUUAGUUGCCAUCAUUCAGUUGGGCACUCUAAUGAGACUGCCGGUGACAAACCGGAGGAAGGUGGGGAUGACGUCAAGUCCUCAUGGCCCUUAUGGUAGGGCUUCACACGUCAUACAAUGGCCGGUACAGAGGGUUGCCAAGCCGCGAGGCGGAGCCAAUCCCAGAAAGCCGGUCGUAGUCCGGAUUGCAGUCUGCAACUCGACUGCAUGAAGUCGGAAUCGCUAGUAAUCGCGGAUCAGCAUGUCGCGGUGAAUACGUUCCCGGGUCUU